AUGAACGCUGGCGGCGUGCCUCACACAUGCAAGUCGAACGGAGUCCAGCCUUUAAGACCUUCGGGUCAAAGAGGGGAAGACUGAGUGGCGGACGGGUGAGUAACACGUGGGCAACCUGGCUCAUAGAGGGGGAUAACAGAGAGAAAUUUCUGCUAAUACCGCAUAAGCACACACUGCCGCAUGGCAGAGGGUGAAAAGAGAAUCGCUAUGAGAUGGACCCGCGUCUGAUUAGCCAGUUGGCAGGGUAAGAGCCUACCAAAGCGACGAUCAGUAGCCGAUCUGAGAGGAUGAACGGCCACAUUGGGACUGAGACACGGCCCAAACUCCUACGGGAGGCGGCAGUGGGGGAUAUUGCACAAUGGGGGGAACCCUGAUGCAGCGACGCCGCGUGAGUGAAGAAGUAUUUCGGGAUGUAAAGCUCUAUCAGCAGGGAAGAUAAUGACAGUACCUGAAGAAGAAGCCCCGGCUAACUACGUG
rnacentral:rRNA from 1 species